rnacentral:miRNA from 1 species
UGAAGUACCAGCUACUCGAGAG